rnacentral:rRNA from 2 species
CAUGGGCGCAGCCUGGAUGCAGCAACGCCGCGGUGAGGGACGAAGGCCUUCGGGUUGUAAACCUCUUUUAGCAGGGAAGAAGCGAAAGUGACGGUACCUGCAGAAAAAGCACCGGCUAACUACGUGCCAGCAGCCGCGGUAAUACGA